rnacentral:rRNA from 1 species
UACAGAGGUCUCAAGCGUUGUUCGGAUUCAUUGGGCGUAAAGGGUGCGUAGGUGGUGACGCAAGUCUGGUGUGAAAUCUCGGAGCUUAACUCCGAAAUUGCACCGGAUACUGCGUAACUCGAGGACUGUAGAGGAGAUCGGAAUUCACGGUGUAGCAGUGAAAUGCGUAGAUAUCGGGAGGAACACCUGUGGCGAAAGCGGCGCACUGGACCAUAACUGACGCUGAGGCGCGAAAGCUAGGGGAGCAAACAGG